UCGAUGAAGAACGCAGCGAAAUGCGAUAAGUAAUGUGAAUUGCAGAAUUCAGUGAAUCAUCGAAUCUUUGAACGCACAUUGCGCCUGGCAGUAUUCUGCCAGGCAUGCCUGUCCGAGCGUCAUUUCACCACUCAAGCUCUGCUUGG
rnacentral:rRNA from 1 species